GGUCAUGCGAGAGGCACUUGUUGUAUGUGCAACUACAUACGGAAUUGAUGACCUUCGAGAGGAGCAAAAGGCAUCUCCCUUGGCUAACAUAAGCCAACAAGAUCAUGUGAAUCUCCCUUUCUCUGAGACAAGAAUCAUGUUUCUAGACUUAUUCGACCUCUCCUGUCUCUCACUUUUUGAGAACGGCGAUCUAGCAUUAAUCAGGAUCCAAGAACCAACCGCCCUUGAGUCUUGCCGCACGGCGCAGGUGUCCAAGAUCGGGUUCGGAUGCAUGGGCCUCUCCGGCAUCUACAGCUCCCCGGUGCCGGACGAGGACGUCGUCGCCAUCAUCAAGACCGCCUUCGACGCCGGCGUCACCUUCUUCGACACCGGCGACGCGUAUUGGCCGCACAACAAUGAGGAUAUGCUCGGGAAGGUUAAUCAUCUGUUUUCCCCAUUGAUCCCAGAUGAAGUACUGCUCUUUGUGUUUCAUCUGGUUUGAGGUACAGGAAUUUGACGGGAAGGUUCAGAAAUCAGGAUGCAGAAGUAAAGGGUCAAUUUAGCUGUUAAACAGAUGGGAUUUGAUAGGGAGAAGUCCAUUUCUGUUCCAAAAAUUGCUACUUUAGGUCGUGGAGGACCAGAGGGUACCAAAAACUGUGAACUGAUGGGAGAUUCCACAAACUGAAUGAUAUUAGAGCCUUAGAGGUGGCCUUGGGAGCACUGGGUCUAGGCUCCAGCACUUUUUGGGGAACAUGUGUGAUAUGAUUAGAUCAUUUAGAUGUAAAAUGCGAAGAAACCUUAGAUGUCUCUUUCCUCUCUUUUUUUUUCUUUUUUACAUGACCGCUGAAGAUGGGAUAGUUCUAUCGAAGAUCAUUUUCUUUCUCUCUGAAGAUGGCCUUUGUUAGUUCAUAACUAGAUGCAACUUCAUCGCUGUUAAAAAAUUUCAGAACAUAAAUAGGCAAGUAGAUGUUCGAAUAAAUUGCACUCAUGAUUGUAAGACAUGGGUGCUGACAGCCUUACAUGAAACUAUCCAAUUCGAUAUUUCUUAGAUCUUGGAGACCCACGUCCCCAGUUAUCAUUACCGAAAACCAUGAACUAUCCCAUAUUCCCAUUUGCUAUAAUUGAAGAAUACAAAUACUUUCAGAACUUGAUGGACAGGCACUGAAGCCGUGGCCUAGCGAGAAGGUGCAAGUGGUCACCAAAUGUAGCAUCGCAGGAUUCAUGCUGAAUGAAAUCUGCAUAAAGCCAGUCUCGUGAGCUCAGAUGGCGAAUAUAUUGAGCUCUAUUACCAGCAUCGCAUCGACCAGUCAGUGCCCAUAGAGGAAACCGUGCAUUGUAGUUCUGAGUCUAGAAGUUGGUGUCAGCAAAAGGUUUCCAAUGUCUCACACAGCUGCUUUCUUAAUGCACAAGGUUAGAUGAGUGAGCUCAAGAAGCUGGUGGAAGAGGGGAAAGUGAAAUAUAUUGGCCUGCCUGAAGCAACUAUCGAUACCAUUAAGGCGCCCUCAUACGGUUCAUCCUAUCACUGCACUGCAAGUGUUGUCUGCUGGAGAUGACUUGUUGGAAAAACUUCUCCUGUUCAAUUGAAACUUAUACCAUAUGGGAGCUUGGCAUCCGAGUUGUUUCAUACAGUCCAUUAGGUCGUGGUUCCUUUUCUGGAAAAGCAGUUAUGGAGAGCCUACCACCAAACAGUUUGCUGUCUGUGGAUCCUAGAUACACUGGAGAAAACUUGGAGAAGGACAAAGAUCUAUAUGGGCGUCUCCUGAAUUUGUCCAAAAAACACAGUUGUAGCCCCUCUCUCAGCUUGGGAGACGAUGUUGGGUUCUUCAUCAAGGAGACGAUGUUGUUCCAAUCCCUAGUAACCACUUCUCGAAUGUUGAGUGUUCUUACAGGAGAUUCACUAUGCUGUAGCCAAACAUUUUCUCAGGAAUGCCUGUCUCAUUUUUUGCAAAGACUGGUAUCGGUUAAUUGCGUACUAGAUUACUGAUCAAAUGCUUAAUGCUGACCAAUU